rnacentral:rRNA from 1 species
AAUUGGAGGGCAAGUCUGGUGCCAGCAGCCGCGGUAAUUCCAGCUCCAAUAGCGUAUAUUAAAGUUGUUGCAGUUAAAAAGCUCGUAGUUGAAUUUCGGGAUCAAUAUUUCGGUCAUGCCGUUGGUAUGCACUGUUAUCAUUGAUUUCUCACCUUCUAAAGAACCGUAAUGCCAUUAAUUUGGUGUUACGGGGAAUUAGGACUGUUACCUUGAAAAAAUUAGAGUGUUUAAAGCAGGCUCACGCUUGAAUACAUUAGCAUGGAAUAAUGAAAUAGGACAUCCGAUUCUAUUUUGUUGGUUUCUAGGAUCGAUGUAAUGAUUAAUAGGGAUAGUUGGGGGCAUUAGUAUUCAAUUGUCAGAGGUGAAAUUCUUGGAUUUAUUGAAGACUAACUACUGCGAAAGCAUUUGCCAAGGAUGUUUUCAUUAAUCAAGAACGAAGGUUAGGGGAUCGAAGACGAUCAGAUACCGUCGUAGUCUUAACCAUAAACUAUGCCGACUAGGGAUCGGAUGAUGUUAAUUUUUUAAUGACUCAUUCGGCGCCUUACGGGAAACCAAAGUGU